rnacentral:lncRNA from 1 species
GGUGUUCAUCAACCUGCCCUUCUUGUCUAUACGACUGGAUCAAAAGAUGGUUCUACAGAUGGGCAUCACCCCCUCUCUCAUCAGCUAUAAUAAUCAAUCAGCUUGUUAGAAACAAGCAAAAAAAUAACAAUUCAAUAUAAACUAGGGGUCAGAAUUCAUUAUCUCUCUAUGCACAUGACUGGCCAUAGACUUAUGGCUGAGAGUUUGCAUGUACUCAUAAGUAGCUCGAUUUUUCUGAUUCU